CGAGGACUUUUGUGCAGUGAUUUACCAAGGGAGGACUCUGAGUGAAGGAGGCGGGAAACAAGGAGGCUAAGAAGCGUGUGGGUUCAGCUGAAGUCUGGCCUCAGCCUGGUCCCGCAGGAGCUCAGAACAGGAUGGUGCCACAGACUUGAACCACCACGACCAUGGACUCGGGGCUUUUGUCUCCUGCAUCAGUCAGUCAUUGCCUGCAGCCCGCCCCUGUAGUGAGGGCAUAGUCUCCCACUAUUUCCAGGUGAGGCAGUACCCCAGAGAAGGGUGGAAACUGUUAGCAGCCAGCACCCACAGCAGCUUGGAGGUGAGUGUCUCACCUGAGUAAAUGGGAUCUUGGGAGGCCGACAGCAUCUACUACACCAGCCAAGGCUUAGACUUGAGGUCGCUGUCUCUCAAAGUUGAAAAGAGAGAUGAACUAGUGUUAGAGAGAUGAGAGACCUGUUCUCACCAAAUAGAGACCUUCUUCUUAGUGCCAGCAGAUGACUGGAAAGAGAGCUGGUGAGAGAGACUAGCAUUCUCACUCACUCAUAGCCUGUGCCCUGACGCCUAGCCUGUCUGUUUGCCUUCCUCAGCUCCAGUAUCUCAGUGGUGUGUCACACACUUUGGGACACACGAUUGCAAAGCAUUAAAGGGGGUCCAGUUCCAGGCUGCCUUCCCAGCCCCCUUCUCUCUCCAUGCUUCCCUACCUCCUAGCUAUUUCAUCUAGCAGCCUUGGCUUGUGGGCGACGCUGCUGCUUGGUCACUCCCGGAUCUAUUCCCUGCCUUUCCAUUAUUCCCUGUAUUCAGGAAGCCACAUUUCCCAGGCUCCCUUGCAAGUGGCUUCUAGAUAGCUUUGCCAAAUGGGAGAAACUGGUGGAAGACGGGAGCACAGGAGGAGGGAGAAGCAGGGGCAUUUCUCCCUCUUGCUCUGCCUUAGGGGGCACCUUUAGCCACGGCCGUGUCUCCUCUCCGGUCCCACCUCCCAGAGGACAGCCCUUGCGUGGCUCCAGCUCCUCCAGCUCCCGCAGGAUAGCCUUUAUCUCCACGUGGCUAGCUCCCACGGGCAGCUGUUGCCCUAGUCCUGCCCCUGCCAGUCAGCGCUGGCUCCAGCUCUCGCUCCUCAGCCUUGGAGGGAGAGGCUUCCUGCUGUUGCUACCCUGGGCCCUUCACUAAGCCUGUUAGGCUUCUCGUCUCUUCCAUUUUCUGCCUUGGGAGGAGGACUAACUCCUUUCUGCUGGAUCUUCAAAAAAAUUCUCUCUCAUCCUCCAGUGGGGCUUCUCAUUAACAACCAGGAUGUAAAGAAACUGAGGGAGAGAGAUCACACAAUGGGACUUAAUUUACCACCCCUUAAAAAGAUGGCGUAAUGGACCUAACUCCCUCUGUUAUCUCUGGAUGGUGCCGGGCAGCGGAAGCCUUGCACACUCCGACUCUGCUUGCGGGCGGGAAUUGCACUCCACGGGAAGCGUCAGCGAGGGAGUCCAUCUGCCCAACGAGGUCUUGGCAAAGACCUCCUGACAACCAUGGAUUCCGAAUCCCGCAGGGCCAGCUUCCUGGGUCUGGUCUUCUGAAGGGCAUGGCUGGUCAGAUGAAUGACGGCAGAGGCUCCCCUGGCUGGGGCAGCUGCAGUAUUGCUCCGAGUGGGACUUACCAAACAGCAAAAUGGGGAGAAAGGGUCCAGGAGCAGGUUUCGGCAACAGAGAGAAACAUGAGACUAAGGCUGGGUCUAUUUCCUCUUUCUGUCACUGUGAGCUUUCGUUGAAUAGUCACUGUGCGUCAGGCAUCGGGCUAGGCUUAGCACAUCUGCUCUUCAAUGCAGCCCCAGGAGUCAGGUGCUGUUUUACUGGUGAAGAAGACCAAGGCUCAGAGAGGUGAAGUAACACACCAAGGUCACACAGCUGCCUGCGCCUCGUGUUGCAAGACCACUGUUUAGACUUCUCAACCAAGGAGGCAAAAUCACCUUCUGGGAGGCAAGGGUCAACUGCUGGACGGGGUAAGGGGGACGGUCCCAGCUUGGGGAUGGUGAAAGGGCUGACCUGAAAGUUAGACCAAAGUAGCCAAAUGAGGAGCGGUGAAAGGACGGAACCGAUGGUGGGUGAGUUCAAAACUGAGGAUCGGUGCGUUUGGAAGCAGGAGCAGUGCCCCUUCCAUCCAGACCUUCGAGCUGAGGGCACUGCCUGGAGUGGCUCUGCGUCUGGCGCGUGUGCCAGGAAGCCUUCCUUCUUGUUUCCCACAGACGUGAGGAAGUACUGUGCACUGGUACUUACUGAGCGCUGUGGGGACACAGCUGUCGGCAAGAUUGGAUCUCUGCUCUCGAGCAGUCCACAGGGUCGGGAGAAGAGGGACAUGUACCCAGACAGAGAUGACGGAGACACGGCUGGGAGCAGGGAGGGCUUCUCGGAGGAAACGUCUCUGAGGUGGACCCGGAAGAUGGGCUGGGCUUGCAGCUGUUGGAUUGAGAGCAAAGGGUAGUGCAGGCUGAGGAAACAGCCUAGACACAAAGGUGCAGGGGAGAAACGGGAAGGAAGUGGCCAGGACGGGCACGGAGCCCGAUGUGGCGGGAGUCUGAGCAGCUGGGCUGGCGCAGGCGAGAGGAGCUGGGAAGGUCGUGCUGGCUAGGUUAUGACUGCUCCACCACGUCACUCCUCUGACCCUCAG
ensembl:lncRNA